rnacentral:rRNA from 1 species
UUAGAGUUUGAUCCUGGCUCAGGACGAGCUUUUGCGGCGCGCCUAACACAUGCAAGUCGAACGAGCGAGAGAGAGCUUGCUUUCUCGAGCGAGUGGCGAACGGGUGAGUAACGCGUGAGGAACCUGCCUCAAAGAGGGGGACAACAGUUGGAAACGACUGCUAAUACCGCAUAAGCCCACGGCUCGGCAUCGAGCAGAGGGAAAAGGAGCAAUCCGCUUUGAGAUGGCCUCGCGUCCGAUUAGCUAGUUGGUGAGGUAAUGGCCCACCAAGGCGACGAUCGGUAGCCGGACUGAGAGGUUGAACGGCCACAUUGGGACUGAGACACGGCCCAGACUCCUACGGGAGGCAGCAGUGGGGAAUAUUGCACAAUGGGGGAAACCCUGAUGCAGCGACGCCGCGUGGAGGAAGAAGGUCUUCGGAUUGUAAACUCCUGUUGUUGGGGAAGAUAAUGACGGUACCCAACAAGGAAGUGACGGCUAACUACGUGCCAGCAGCCGCGGUAAUACGUAGGUCACAAGCGUUGUCCGGAAUUACUGGGUGUAAAGGGAGCGCAGGCGGGAAGACAAGUUGGAAGUGAAAUCUAUGGGCUCAACCCAUAAACUGCUUUCAAAACUGUUUUUCUUGAGUAGUGCAGAGGUAGGCGGAAUUCCCGGUGUAGCGGUGGAAUGCGUAGAUAUCGGGAGGAACACCAGUGGCGAAGGCGGCCUACUGGGCACCAACUGACGCUGAGGCUCGAAAGUGUGGGUAGCAAACAGGAUUAGAUACCCUGGUAGUCCACACCGAAAACGAUGAUUACUAGGUGUUGGAGGAUUGACCCCUUCAGUGCCGCAGUUAACACAAUAAGUAAUCCACCUGGGGAGUACGACCGCAAGGUUGAAACUCAAAGGAAUUGACGGGGGCCCGCACAAGCAGUGGAGUAUGUGGUUUAAUUCGACGCAACGCGAAGAACCUUACCAAGUCUUGACAUCCCUUGACGAUGCUGGAAACAGUAUUUCUCUUCGGAGCAAGGAGACAGGUGGUGCAUGGUUGUCGUCAGCUCGUGUCGUGAGAUGUUGGGUUAAGUCCCGCAACGAGCGCAACCCUUAUGGUCAGUUACUACGCAAGAGGACUCUGGCCAGACUGCCGUUGACAAAACGGAGGAAGGUGGGGAUGACGUCAAAUCAUCAUGCCCUUUAUGACUUGGGCUACACACGUACUACAAUGGCGUUAAACAAAGAGAAGCAAGACCGCGAGGUGGAGCAAAACUCAGAAACAACGUCCCAGUUCGGACUGCAGGCUGCAACUCGCCUGCACGAAGUCGGAAUUGCUAGUAAUCGUGGAUCAGCAUGCCACGGUGAAUACGUUCCCGGGCCUUGCACACACCGCCCGUC